rnacentral:rRNA from 1 species
UACGAAGGGGGCUAGCGUUGCUCGGAAUCACUGGGCGUAAAGGGUGCGUAGGCGGCUGUCUAAGCAGGGUGUGAAAGCCCCCGGCUCAACCGGGGAAUUGCGUUCUGAACUGGACGGCUGGAGUGGGAUAGGGGUGUGUGGAACUUCCGGUGGAGCGGUGAAAUGUGUUGAUAUCGGAAGGAACGCCGGUGGCGAAAGCGACACACUGGGUCUCAACUGACGCUGAGGCACGAAAGCCAGGGGAGCGAACGGG